AUUGAACGCUGGCGGCAUGCCUUACACAUGCAAGUCGAACGAGUGGCGCACGGGUGAGUAAUACAUCGGAACGUGUCCUAUCGUGGGGGAUAACUGAUCGAAAGAUCAGCUAAUACCGCAUACGAUUGGAUCGGCCGAUGCCCGAUUAGCUAGUUGUGGAGGUAAAGGCUCACCAAGGCGACGAUCGCUAGCUGGUCUGAGAGGACGACCAGCCAAACUGGGACGGAGACACGGCCCAGACUCCGACGGGAGGCAGCAGUGGGGAAUUUUGGACAAUGGGGGCAAUCCGGAUGCAGCCAUGCCGCUGGCAGGAUGAAGGUCUUCGGAUUGUAAACUGCUUUUGUCAGGGAGGCGGUACCUGAAGAAUAAGCACCGGCUAACUACGUGCCAGCAGCCGCGGUAAUUC
rnacentral:rRNA from 1 species